ensembl:misc_RNA 7SK 7SK RNA
GGAUGUGACGGUCAUUUUGCAUGACACCUGUCACCAACUGAUCCCAACAGUUGAUUUGGCUGAUCUGGCUAACUAGCUGGGUUCCCCUUCCUUCCUAACUGCCCCAUAUAUGUCUCUUCCAAAGCUGCCUACUCGGCUGAGGAGGAUGACUUACCCCCAUAGAGGAGGAUGAUUUUUCUGUAAGGGCAUACGUGUAGCAGUGCUCCCUUGCUAGAAGCUCCAAACAAGUCUUCAAAGAACACACACAAAAAAGCCGCUGAAGGAUAGUGUUUAAAAUAGCAUGACCACUCCAAUCGGUUUAUAACACUACCCUAUUUUG